GAUGUAGAUCCGUAAUUCCAACGUGGGGAACUCUCACGCCCUGAGUUUCUAGCCGGGCUCUACAGCUUUACUAGUCAUUAGGGAAGUAUACAUGUUUAAAUCUCUCACUAUUAGAAUUUUACUUUGUGGAAUUCAUUUCAGGACUUCUGUUGGGAUUUUUGUGCAACAUCUGUAAGAUAGGACGAAGUUUUGGUCCCAGGAGGCUUAUUAUGAUGAGGUGUGGGGUACGCGGUCUUUUGGCUAUAUCCGUCGCUAUGGUUGUGAUGGUACAUUCAACUACUACAAAAAAUACAAAAUAAAUUGACAAUGCAAAACGUUUGGUAUAUGCACUGAUUCCAUACUUCAUCAGAUAUCAGUUUAUAUAUUUUUAGGUACAACGGUCCUCUAGACUCCUCCAGAGCGGAUACCCAGACAUAUAAACUGGAUCACUACCAAACAUACUGCUGAUUCUAUAACUAUUGUUUUACCCAGGAUGGUCAGUGCGGAUACUCUUGUUAAUAAUCUACAAGUUGGCUAUUGCUAAGUGUGUUGAUGACGUACACUUCCUAUAUUAAUACACCGCAAGGGUUUCUUUGGAUUGGGCGCCAUAUUGUUACGUGUCCUUUUAAGCGGAGCCAGAACGAUGCCUCUAUAUCGCCGACUAACUCUGCCGACUCUCUUGGGGCAGGUUCCAUCCCGACAUCUCUAGCCCAGGAACGUACACAAUCGAUUUGGUCUAUUCCUAUCGAUAAUUUACUUUAACUUCUCCCAUCAAAACUCCGGACUCCGGGUUCAGAGUCAAACUUAGCCGCCCACCCGACCAUAGUCAUCCUACCGAUCUUGCCUUGAUGACCCCUAUUACCGCUGGAAGUACCACCACUCACCUCAUCAUCCUUUUCCUCCUUUCCUUUUCAGUUAAACUCUCAUAUUUCUAAUUGUCUACAGAUUCACAUUAUAUUUAUUGAAAAA